rnacentral:rRNA from 1 species
GAUGAACGCUAGCUACAGGCUUAACACAUGCAAGUCGAGGGGAAACGACAUUGAAAGCUUGCUUUUGAUGGGCGUCGACCGGCGCACGGGUGAGUAACGCGUAUCCAACCUGCCCACCACUUGGGGGAUAACCUUGCGAAAGUAAGACUAAUACCCAAUGACGUCUCUAGAAGACAUCUGAAAGAGAUUAAAGAUUUAUCGGUGAUGGAUGGGGAUGCGUCUGAUUAGCUUGUUGGCGGGGUAACGGCCCACCAAGGCGACGAUCAGUAGGGGUUCUGAGAGGAAGGUCCCCCACAUUGGAACUGAGACACGGUCCAAACUCCUACGGGAGGCAGCAGUGAGGAAUAUUGGUCAAUGGACGGGAGUCUGAACCAGCCAAGUAGCGUGCAGGAUGACGGCCCUAUGGGUUGUAAACUGCUUUUAGUUGGGAAUAAAGUUGGGUCACGUGUGACUUUUUGCAUGUACCUUAUGAAUAAGGACGGCUAAUUCCGUG